CCAGGUGCUGGCAAGGGGACACGGAGAAAGCAGUGAGUCCGAGGAUGAAGUCAGGUGUGCUCAAAAUUCCCUGGAAUCGGCCCUCCAGCCUGCGACUAACCACACCUCCUCUGGGAACCUUCUCUGAUCACCUGCUCCCCCUCUUCCCAGUGUCCUUUGUGUCUUCCUUCUGAAUUACUAGCACCUGGCUCUAGCUAAAGGCUCCUGGAAGGCAGGGGACUGUCUGGAUUUUAUCUAGUCCCUUCUAAGCACCUUUACCUCCAUUAGAGCACCUGGGACCUUUUGCUGAUACCUCUGGACCUUGUCUGACCCCUACCCAUCCAGGAUUGCAUCUGAUUUGUCCCUGUGGUCCAACCCGGCACAAGAACUGGUUCAGGGGAAAAGUUGGCAGAUUCAAGUGGAACUGAGUUCCUCCACUGAAUGCCCACAUCUGAGGCAAGGCAGAAGUUCACUUGGCAGAUGAGCAAAGGUGAGGAGAAAUGGAUGCAGGAGACCAGGGAGACCAGACCCCCAGCCCUGCCCCCCAAGACAGAAAGGUCCAGGCCCCCAGCCCCCUCCCUCCUAAAAUUCAGGAAUCCAGCUCCUCAGUUACCUCCUCCCUUAAACCUAGUUUCUCUCUGCCUGGGGUUUCCUUGCCCCUAAACUCACCAUAGAUGGACUUGGCACUCCGUUUGGGGGAAGCUUCUGGGCUAGUGAAGGAAAAGAGGGGUGAGAGGGGCUGUGGGAAUUGGGGGGCAGAUCAUGGGGGGUUUUGAGUGCCAAGCAGAAUUGCACCACUUCGUUGUGAGGGCAAUGGGAGCCAUGGAGGGUUCUGAGCAGGGGAGGGCAGGGCUAGAGCUGGACUUUAAUAAAAUAAGAAUGGCAGUGGUGCUCGGUGGUGGUGGGGAGUCUGGUCUCUACUGUCACACAGAUCUGGGUUUGAAUUCCCUGUCAGCUACUGCUUUGCCAUAAGAUCUUGGGUAGGAGACCAUCUCUCCUGCCUUAGUUUCCCUUUCUGUAAGACAGGGGUUAGUUACCCUAUAGCCUCCAUCUGGUAGGGCUGUUGAGCAAAUUCAAUGAGAUGAUGCAGCUGAAGUGUUUUGCAGCCUCAAAAACUGUUGCUGUUUUGAUGAUGCAACGGACUUAAUAUGCAGUAGUUACUCAAUAAAAGGGAUUUUUUCACAACA